UACGAAGGGGGCUAGCGUUGCUCGGAAUCACUGGGCGUAAAGGGUGCGUAGGCGGGUCUUUAAGUCAGGGGUGAAAUCCUGGAGCUCAACUCCAGAACUGCCUUUGAUACUGAAGAUCUUGAGUUCGGGAGAGGUGAGUGGAACUGCGAGUGUAGAGGUGAAAUUCGUAGAUAUUCGCAAGAACACCAGUGGCGAAGGCGGACUCACUGGCCCGUAUACUGACGCUGAGGCACGGAAAGCGUGGG
rnacentral:rRNA from 1 species